AAUUUAAUUGUGCAAUUCAAUUUAAUUUGAUAAUUAAAGUCUUACUUAAUUUAUUUAGUUAUUUAUGAGAAAUAUC
rnacentral:tRNA from 1 species